rnacentral:rRNA from 1 species
GAGUCGUUGAUUUCACACUGCCGAGAAAAGCCUCUAGAUAGAAAAUAGGUGCCCGUACCGCAAACCGACACAGGUAGUCAAGAUGAGAAUUCUAAGGUGAGCGAGCGAACUCUCGUUAAGGAACUCGGCAAAAUGACCCCGUAACUUCGGGAGAAGGGGUGCUCUUUAGGGUUAACGCCCAGAAGAGCCGCAGUGAAUAGGCCCAAGCGACUGUUUAUCAAAAACACAGGUCUCUGCUAAACCGUAAGGUGAUGUAUAGGGGCUGACGCCUGCCCGGUGCUGGAAGGUUAAGAGGAGUGGUUAGCUUCUGCGAAGCUACGAAUCGAAGCCCCAGUAAACGGCGGCCGUAACUAUAACGGUCCUAAGGUAGCGAAAUUCCUUGUCGGGUAAGUUCCGACCCGCACGAAAGGCGUAACGAUUUGGGCACUGUCUCAACGAGAGACUCGGUGAAAUCAUAGUACCUGUGAAGAUGCAGGUUACCCGCGACAGGACGGAAAGACCCCGUGGAGCUUUACUGUAGCCUGAUAUUGAAAUUCGGCACAGCUUGUACAGGAUAGGUAGGAGCCUUUGAAACGUGAGCGCUAGCUUACGUGGAGGCGCUGGUGGGAUACUACCCUAGCUGUGUUGGCUUUCUAACCCGCACCACUUAUCGUGGUGGGAGACAGUGUCAGGCGGGCAGUUUGACUGGGGCGGUCGCCUCCUAAAAGGUAACGGAGGCGCUCAAAGGUUCCCUCAGAAUGGUUGGAAAUCAUUCAUAGAGUGUAAAGGCAUAAGGGAGCUUGACUGCGAGACCUACAAGUCGAGCAGGGUCGAAAGACGGACUUAGUGAUCCGGUGGUUCCGCAUGGAAGGGCCAUCGCUCAACGGAUAAAAGCUACCCCGGGGAUAACAGGCUUAUCUCCCCCAAGAGUUCACAUCGACGGGGAGGUUUGGCACCUCGAUGUCGGCUCAUCGCAUCCUGGGGCUGUAGUCGGUCCCAAGGGUUGGGCUGUUCGCCCAUUAAAGCGGUACGCGAGCUGGGUUCAGAACGUCGUGAGACAGUUCGGUCCCUAUCCGUCGUGGGCGUAGGAAAUUUGAGAGGAGCUGUCCUUAGUACGAGAGGACCGGGAUGGACAUACCUCUGGUGUACCAGUUGUCGUGCCAACGGCAUAGCUGGGUAGCUAUGUGUGGACGGGAUAAGUGCUGAAAGCAUCUAAGCAUGAAGCCCCCCUCAAGAUGAGAUUUCCCAACUUCGGUUAUAAGAUCCCUCAAAGAUGAUGAGGUUAAUAGGUUCGAGGUGGAAGCAUGGUGACAUGUGGAGCUGACGAAUACUAAUCGAUCGAAGACUUAAUCAAAA